GGGAUCAGAUUCAAGAACCAUCAUGAGAGAGAGAGAGAGAGUCAGAAAUCAGCUGAACUGGGGCUCACCUCUACCGUCUCUAUCUUCUUCUUCCCCCUUCGUCGUCUUCAACAUCGCUGGUGUUGUGUGCGCUGCUGCCGUCCGCCCAGCUUGCAGCAACUUCUUUCUCCUUUGUUUCUCGUCAUCGAGCUCUUGUCCUUUCUUCUCCAUUAUGUCUAAUCGAAGGUGGUAAGCAUGUUAAACGCUGUGUUGUUGUUGGAGAUCUAAUAAUGUUGCUGCUGUUUUGGGGAUCGUGGAAGCUACCGAUCCCUUCUCCUCCUCAUUUACGUGCCAUCGUUCGAGUUCUUUUUCUGUUCAAUAUGCUGAUUCUUCUUCCUUCUUGCUUUGUUCAUCCACUUGAUAUCUUGCUUCUUUACUUUGUCACGUUGAGUGAGGUGAGAUGCUUCAAUUCUUCUCAUGAUUUUUGCUGUGGCUGUGACAUUCCUUGCCCUGUUUUGCUGUGAGAUAUGUGGAGGGGUAGAAUUUAUUUAAUUUAUUAAAUAAUUUAUUUAUUUUUCUUUCUUUUAGUUAAGAUCAAUUUGAGGAAAUGGAAUUUAGUAAGCUGAUUAUUUAUAUAUUUAUGUUAAAGAAGUUUUGAGAAGAUGAAAUCAAAGAGGAAGAAGUUGGUUUGAGUUUAAGUGUGAAGGCACAAAAGGUGCUUGAUAAAAUGAUUGUUAGGAGAAGUUUGCUUAAUUUUGUAUUUUUCUAAAAGUUCAUUAAUUCUUGUGAAAAGCAUGUUUAGUUUAGGUGUUAUUGAUUCAUAGACUUAACUUGUAGGUUGCAAAUUAAAGGAAUUUGACUAUGAAUUCAUAUGUAACUAGUUAAACUCCUGAGGAUAGUAUGGUUAUUGAUAAAUUGUUGGAUAAAGGUUGGAAGAUUAGAAAAUUUUAAUUUCAUGGUUGGAAUAAUGCACCUAAAGUGUUUGAUGCAAAGAUUUAGAGAAAAUUUUAUCUCAAGUAAAUAGGUUGGUAUGGCUAAAGUAUUAUAGAGGAAAUUAAUGACAUGAAUGAUAAUGCUUUGACAUUGUUAAUUGUAAAUUUAAUUGGGUUUUAUCCUAGGAGUUUAUGUAGGAAGUUAUUGAUAUCUUAUUUUAGCUUUAGAUUAUUGGGAGUAAUAAAGUUAGAAUUUUAUAAAGUAUAUUAUUGCUUUAAAAAGGCAUACUUAGAUGCUUGAAAAAAAUGGUUGGGCCAAGAGAAUUAAAAGUUACACAUUUUAUCAAAUGGGUUGGAAUGUUGCACAUUAUAUGUUUAGUAAAAAGCCUAAGAAGAAACCUUUAUGUGUAAUUUUGUUACUGAAACUUAAAGUUUUAUUACUAAUUCUGGUUGAGUGAAUUCUCAUAAAGAGAGACUUGUUGGUUCAAAAGUAAAGUUCAUUAAGAUCUUAUUAUUUAUUAUAGGGUGGUUGUGUGAAGGGUAGCUCGAUUGAAGUUGUAAGAAGUGAGUUUUGAACUUUGAAAGCACUACAGUAAGUAGAUAGUAUCCCAACUGAUUUUGCAAUAAAGAUUUCCUUUACUACAAUAGUACAUUUUUAUGCAAAAUGGUUUUAGUAACAACGAUAUGGUUAUUGAAUAGUUUGUUUAUUAAACUUCUUUAUUUUGUGAAAUUACAUCUAUCAAUUUUGAAAUUUUAAUUAAUUAAUAAAUAUAAGUUUGGAUUUUGAUUAUGAGAUUUCAUUCUAUUGAACAUUAGGUUAAUAUAGAGAAUGAUUCAUGCGAGUUUGACUUUGAAAAUAAAAAUUUUAUUAUGAAAGUAAUGAUUUUCUCUCAUGUUUGAAAAUAGAUUUGAAGGGGACUUUAUACAGAACACUAGUUGCUAGGGGCAGUUCCAUUAGCCCUUGGUGCGCCAUGGUUUACCUAACUAGCUGAGUACUUAUAGGAGGUGCUAACCCCGUGCGAUGGCCAACGCACAUGGAACGGAGGGAUGGUUAUUCGUGAGCAUCGUACUCACGUUUGUUUCAUGGUUUCAAGUUACAUUUGGUUAGCAUUAUCUUCAUGGACUAUGUGUCCACAUUUGUCUUCAUGGCACAAGCUGUGUUUGGUUAUUUAUCCUCGUGGACUGUGUGUCCACGUUUGUUAAUUAUUCUAAUAAGCUUCUAUAAUUAUGAAUCUGAUUAUUUGGUAAUUUUAUAUUCCAUUGAUUUUAUUUAGAAAUUUAUUUACAAGUAUUUAUUUUAUUUAUGUGACUUCUUAAAAUCAAGUGAUAUUAACAUUUGCUAUGAUAGUUCAACGGUUUAAGAUUUUAUUCAAAAAUUUUGCAGAGCCAUUUUAUUCUAAAAUUUAUACAUUUUUUUAUGGAAAUUGUCGUCUCUUUAACUUAGAUGAUUAUUUCAAACAUUUCUUUUUAUUCAUGUUAAAUUAUUUAUUGUUGGGACAUUAUUUACUGAAAAAUUAUUUUUGUCUCAGAUAGCAUAAUUGACACUGUACAUCUUGCUUACCAAUGAUGGUUGUUUGCAAAGCAUAAUGGAGGUUGGUUCUGUAAAUAUGUUUUAUUGAUGCAAAUAUGAAAUUUAUGUAUUAUGUCAUGAGAUAUAUGAUUAGAUGCUUCACAUAACUUAUAAUUAGAGUCCUUAGUUUAUUAUACAUUUUGUUUCCUGGUUAGAAGGAGUUAAGCUCCUGAUUGAUAUAUUGUUUAAGGAAAAUUUUUUGUGAUACAGAAUUUGAGAGAUCCUAUUUAUAAAGGAGGUUCUGUUAAAAUUUUUACAAAAUGUUGAAAUAAUUAUUAUAAUGAUUAGUAUCAAUGGUAUUAAAAGGUCAGUGAAAAGUUGAGUACAUUUUAGUUAAAUGAAAUAAAUCUUGAAUUUGUGGCUUACAGGAUGUGUGAUGUUGUUCACAUCCUCUGCCGGUCACCCCCUAUUUUUAGGGCAUGACAUGAAAUCUCUUGGGAGGUUGGAAAGUUGCAUGCCCUCAAUUUUCUUGAUCUAUAAAGAAACCAUUUGUCUUGAAGAAUCCCUUCAAGUCUUUUAGAAAUAAAUGGGCUUGCUAUCUUGAAGUUAUCCAAUAAUAAUUUGAUUGGAAAAACUCCAUUAGGAACACAACUCCAUAGUUUUGAUGCCUCUAUGUUUGAAGGAAAUAAUCUUUGUGGCAGUCCACUUAAAAAAGUUUGUCUUGGUGAAAGAGAAUUAGAAGGCCCUACAACUAUUAAGAAACCAAAAGAAGAGGAAGAUGAUUCCAUUUUGAGCCAAGGAUUUUACAUGAGCAUGGGUUUAGGAUUUGCCACUGGAUUUUGGGCCAUCUUUAGCCCCUUGCUUCUGUACUAUACUUGGAGGCAUACCUUUUCAACUUCCUCUAUACUCUAUAUGACAAGAUUGUUAUUUUCACAAUUAUCAAUGUAACAAGAUGCUGCAGGUUAUAUAAAGCAUGAAUAGAUGAUGAGAGGAACCUACUUGUUGGAAGCUCAAAUGUAGGCCUUGGUGGUGGGAUGAUCAUCAAAGAGGUAGUUAGGUGUAGAAGCAAAUAUGUGCAAUGGGAUUGUGCUAGCUACCAUAUAAUAAAGCAUCCAUACGUGGUCUUGUUAAUUAAAUUAGUUACUGCUGUGACUUUGAUCUUUUUUUUUGGAUGAAAUUGAUUUGGUCUUGUUUUACCUUGUUAGUUGUUAUCUGUUAUGAUCAUACUAGCUUUGGACUUGGGAAACACAUCUCUUCAUCUAUACAUGAGUUUUUUA